UCCGGCUUACCACCGGCGGUCCCUUUAGAGUGCCCAACUAAAUGAUGGCAACUAAGGACGAGGGUUGCGCUCGUUGCGGGACUUAACCCAACAUCUCACGACACGAGCUGACGACAGCCAUGCAGCACCUGUGUUCUCGCCCCUUGCGGGAAGGAAACCAUCUCUGGCGACCAUACGAGACAUGUCAAGGGCUGGUAAGGUUCUUCGCGUUGCUUCGAAUUGAACCACAUGCUCCACCGCUUGUGCGGGCCCCGUCAAUUCCUUUGAGUUUUAAUCUUGCGACCGUACUCCCCAGGCGGAAUGCUUAAUGCGUUAGCUGCGCCACUGACAGGCAAGCCUGACAACGGCUAGCAUUCAUCGUUUACGGCGUGGACUAC
rnacentral:misc_RNA from 1 species